GAAUAUUGGUCAAUGGGCGCAAGCCUGAACCAGCCAUGCCGCGUGCAGGAAGAAGCAUCUAUGGUGUGUAAACUGCUUUUAUACAGGAAGAAACACCUCCACGUGUGGAGGCUUGACGGUACUGUAGGAAUAAGGAUCGGCUCACUCCGUGCCAGCAGCCGCGGUAAUACGGAGGAUCCAAGCGUUAUCCGGAAUCAUUGGGUUUAAAGGGUCCGUAGGCGGUCUUAUAAGUCAGUGGUGAAAUCUCCUAGCUCAACUAGGAAACUGCCAUUGAUACUGUAAGACUUGAAUUUUUGUGAAGUAACUAGAAUAUGUAGUGUAGCGGUGAAAUGCUUAGAUAUUACAUGGAAUACCAAUUGCGAAGGCAGGUUACUAACAAACGAUUGACGCUGAUGGACGAAAGCGUGGGGAGCGAACAGG
rnacentral:rRNA from 1 species